AUAUAAUUGUAGAGUGGAAGAGCGUUUUUCAUUUUUUGAGAAGGACGAGAGGGUUACAAAACCAAAACACACUGUGAGAAGUGCAAAUAUAACGCGAAUUUUAAAACUUAACUCGUAUCAGUACAUUGAGAUGAAUUUCCUGGAACGUAAUAGCGAAAUUUGUCAUAAAUCAGAGGCUUUGUUCGCACGACAAAUCUUGGCUGAUUUGAAUAAGAACGCGAAGACGUUUAAAUGCGAUAACAAAAGACCCAUUUUGCUUAAAAUAAACGGGCUGAUCGUAAAGCAAUUGAAAUUCUUCGACAAUCCAAACAAUUGAAUCGGCGAAUUUAUUUAUUUAUCUUACACAGUGUAUCGUUGCAAAUUAUCGGUCCUCGAUAAAGUGUCAAGAAUUGUGGGUUGCAGUCGGCACAAGAGAUUCCUUCGAUCAAUGCGGAGAUGCAGAUUUCGGGCUUUCACCGUCCCUUCGUACUCUGGCGGCGCUGGUGUUUGGAGCACAUUCGUUCGAGAUAUCGAUCUCCAGCGUCAGACAGUCGCGGCUCGUCUGCUGAAGAACGAGGCGAUAUUCUGUGUUUUUUCCAUUUUUUUUCUUCACAGGGACGUUUACGCCAAUCAAUUAAUCGAACCGACAAAGAGCUAACGUUAUACAUAUUCACUUAUUCGUGAGUCAAAUCUGUGAGAAUUAUCAGAGCAGUUCGUGACGCAAGUCUCGUGUGAUAAAAGGAUCCGAGUUUAGUCGUCGAGCAGACCAAGAGACUCGUUCUCGUUUGAGCGGAUCAGCCCCGCUGCUGGUGCUACACACGAAUUAUCAUAUAGUUCUACGACAAUAGGAGCAACGACAUCGUUUAAUAUCCAACAUAACGAGGCUAUAUUUAGUGACAACCCACGAGAUCGGGUGUCAAAGAUGUGCGGUGGUUUCACGUGUUCCAAAAAUGCUCUGACAGCAUUGAACAUCCUAUACAUCGUAGUUGCUUUUAUUCUAAUCGGCGUUGCGGUAUACGGAAGAGCCUCCGCUCUCGUUACAAAUCUACCGAUUAUCGGUGGAAUUUUAGCGUGCGGAGUUAUACUCAUUCUCAUAUCAAUAUUGGGCCUAAUCGGAGCUGUCAAACAUCAUCAAGUUCUGCUCUUCUUCUACAUGCUCAUUCUCUUCCUGCUGUUUCUUAUUCAGUUCAGCAUCGCGUGCGCUUGUUUGGCUGUUAAUGCUAAGCAGCAGGAGACCCUUGCCGAAACGGGAUGGAGGCGUGUCGGAAUUGAUAUGAAGGCAGAAGUUCAAGAGACCUUCCACUGCUGUGGUUUCAACAACACUGUAGGAGAGACUGAUACAGCUCUCCAGCAUCCAACCUGUGAAAAAGUCAAUAGUUACUGUUGCAAGGAUAGCACUAAGCCAGAUUGCGAGUGUCCGCCGUGCAUGCAGAAGCUCCAAUCAACCAUUGAUUUUGCGUUUAAGUUAUGCGGAGGGAUUGGAUUGUUCUUCAGUUUCACGGAGUUUGUCGGUGUAUGGUUGACGGUGCGCUACAGGAACCAGAAAGAUCCGCGAGCUAAUCCCAGUGCUUUCCUCUAGUCUAACAUCAUCGCCAUGUCCCCUGUAUCCUCGCACGACACUCUAAAUAGAUGGUGAUUGCUGCUUUCUUGGCACGUCGCUACCGGAAUCAAUUGGACCCGGAGGAAAAAGCAGCAAGAGCUAUAUUCCCCCGAAAAAAUUAUCUUUACUAAUCUAAUUCACCGUUGCAACGUAAAAGGAAAGACCGAAAAAACAAAACUCCUAGACUCACUUCCCUCGAGUCGACAGUCUUUCGCACACGCUUGAUUUUUACAGCGCAGCUCAUUGAACGAGAGGUUUACCGCAAUAACUUCGGUUGUGAAGGAGACAAAAAGAAAAAUAUCGAAGGAUCGCCGUCUUUGUUCCGAGCAUUUUUCACGUAGAAAAUAUCCGUGCUUUCCGAGGUUGCGGGCUCAAAAUUAAUCACGAAUUUUCGUAACUCUCCGCAAAUAUCGAGCGUUAUCUUGCUUCUAUUUCUUUGCGUUUCUUUUUUUUUUCUUUUUUAUAUUGUUUCAGGCGUUUAUCAAAUUUUUAGAGUGAAUCGAAGGAGUAUGAUAGGUAAAAAUGUGUGCUCUAGUCAGCCACGAACAACACUCACAUACCAAGCCUCAAAGCGCCUUGUAGUUUAGUGUAUUGAAGGAUUCGUCUCAACGUUCUCGUUGUCGUCAUCUCUCACUCUGAACAUUAAAAAAAAAAAAAAAAAUUCUUUCCGUAAUCGCUUUUGAAUACGCAAAACGCGUCGAGCUACAGUUUUUUUCCUUCUCUCCAAAACGUCGAAGGUUCAAAAACUCGCAGCAACGCAGUAUCGAUUUACAAUAACGAGUGAAAAUGCAUACGUAACUCGAUCGUCAGAUGAACGAGAUCUUUGCAAGCGGAUGAGCCGUAGCGGCGAGACUGAUGAAAAAACAUUUUGUUUAUCAUUUAUUUAUAAUUAUCUUGAGUGUCGAAAUUUCGAUGAGUAUGUUCUCCUAUGCGAUGUUAUAUCGUGGUAAAUUAUUUGUAUUUUUUUCAAUAUUCAUCGUUGUAACGCGUAUGUUAUUCUGACCGCCGAAAGCAAAUCGUCAAAUUUGCUUAUUCGCGUCAAGUUUACCGAACACGGCGCGACUAUUCGAUCGACCCAUUAUUUUCCAGACAUGCUUCCUAUGCUUUCGGUAAUUGUACGUUUACUAUUUUAUACGUCGCAGAGUGUACGAGAAAAGGAAUUGUAUAUUACGAUAUGGGAGGUUUGGUGAAAGAAAAAGAAAAUGGAAAAUCGAAAAAAAGAUAAAACAAAACAAAUCAUUUUAACAUCACGAACGAUUCCAUACGAAUGAAAAUUAUUUUUUCCGUAUUAUUUGCCCAGAAAAAUUGUCUUUCAAAACGUUUGGAAAGAACUCGACGAACGCGCAGAGUCAUCGGUUUCAUAUCAACGGGCAUAUUUUUAUUGUUUAUAGAUCGCAGUUAUUCGAGUCUGAGAUUAUCACGUAACUUGGGAGUUUCAAUAAGAACAAAUAUAUAUAUUCAUAAAUAUGUAUUGUAUCUUUAUCCUCCCGUGCCUAGCUCAACCUUUAUUUUUUUUUUAUCGUAUUUUAUAUAUUAUACAUGUAUAUUAUUUAUAUAUCCAUAUGGCGAUUUAACGAGAUCAUCAUCUCGUGCAUUCGGCAUUGGAAGUCGUGAAUAGCGAAUGCAAUGAUACUAGAUAGUGCGUAGAUCAUAAUGUACGUAAUGACUAUGCUACUCGUAUUGGUACUACUGAUAAAGAAGUAUUCUUAUCGUGUAUAUUCGGGCAGAAAAAUAAUCUACUUAAACUUAUGAGGUUCGACUAUACCGUAAGAUUGACGUUGUAAUCACACGUAAAUAUUUAAACAUUAAAGGACUUCCCUUAUAAAAUA